rnacentral:rRNA from 1 species
UACGUAGGGUGCAAGCGUUAAUCGGAAUUACUGGGCGUAAAGCGUGCGCAGGCGGUUAUGUAAGACAGAUGUGAAAUGCCCGGGCUUAACCUGGGAACUGCAUUUGUGACUGCAUGGCUAGAAUCUGGCAGAGGGGGGUAGAAUUCCACGUGUAGCAGUGAAAUGCGUAGAUAUGUGGAGGAACACCGGAUGGACGAAGGCAGCCCCCUGGGUCAAGAUUGACGCU